rnacentral:rRNA from 1 species
CCUACGGGUGGCUGCAGUGGGGAAUUGUUCACAAUGGGCGCAAGCCUGAUGACGCAACGCCGCGUGGGGGAUGAAGGCCUUCGGGUCGUAAACCCCUGUCGAAUGGGACGAAAAGCCCGCGAUUUAACAAAACGCGGGACUGACGGUACCGUUAAAGGAAGCCACGGCUAACUCUGUGCCAGCAGCCGCGGUAAUACAGAGGUGGCAAGCGUUGUUCGGAAUUACUGGGCGUAAAGGGCGCGUAGGCGGCCUUCUAAGUCAGACGUGAAAUCCCCCGGCUUAACCUGGGAACUGCGUCUGAUACUGGGAGGCUUGAGUAUGGGAGAGGGAUGUAGAAUUCCAGGUGUAGCGGUGAAAUGCGUAGAUAUCUGGAGGAAUACCGGUGGCGAAGGCGGCAUCCUGGACCAUAACUGACGCUGAGGCGCGAAAGCUAGGGGAGCAAACGGGAUUAGAUACCCGUGUAGUCC